rnacentral:rRNA from 1 species
UUGACCUCGGAUCAGGUAGGGAUACCCGCUGAACUUAAGCAUAUCAAUAAGCGGAGGAAAAGAAACCAACAGGGAUUGCUCUAGUAACGGCGAGUGAAGCAGCAAUAGCUCAAAUUUGAAAUCUGGCGUCUUCGGCGUCCGAGUUGUAAUUUGUAGAGGAUGCUUCUGGGCAGCCACCGACCUAAGUUCCUUGGAACAGGACGUCAUAGAGGGUGAGAAUCCCGUAUGCGGUCGGAAAGGCACCCUACACGUAGCUCCUUCGACGAGUCGAGUUGUUUGGGAAUGCAGCUCUAAAUGGGAGGUAAAUUUCUUCUAAAGCUAAAUAUUGGCCAGAGACCGAUAGCGCACAAGUAGAGUGAUCGAAAGAUGAAAAGCACUUUGGAAAGAGAGUUAAAAAGCACGUGAAAUUGUUGAAAGGGAAGGGAUUGCAACCAGACUUGCUCGCGGUGUUCCGCCGGUCUUCUGACCGGUCUACUCGCCGCGUUGCAGGCCAGCAUCGUCUGGUGCCGCUGGAUAAGACUUGAGGAAUGUAGCUCCCUCGGGAGUGUUAUAGCCUCUUGUGAUGCAGCGAGCGCCGGGCGAGGUCCGCGCUUCGGCUA